GAGUUUGAUCCUGGCUCAGAUUGAACGCUGGCGGCAUGCCUUACACAUGCAAGUCGAACGGCAGCAUGAUCUAGCUUGCUAGAUUGAUGGCAAGUGGCGAACGGGUGAGUAAUACAUCGGAACGUGCCCUGUAGUGGGGGAUAACUAGUCGAAAGAUUAGCUAAUACCGCAUACGACCUGAGGGUGAAAGUGGGGGACCGCAAGGCCUCAUGCUAUAGGAGCGGCCGAUGUCUGAUUAGCUAGUUGGUGGGGUAAAGGCCCACCAAGGCGACGAUCAGUAGCUGGUCUGAGAGGACGAUCAGCCACACUGGGACUGAGACACGGCCCAGACUCCUACGGGAGGCAGCAGUGGGGAAUUUUGGACAAUGGGCGAAAGCCUGAUCCAGCAAUGCCGCGUGUGUGAAGAAGGCC
rnacentral:rRNA from 1 species